UCCUGUGCAAAGCCCAGUUCUAUGGGUUUAGCCCACAUCCUAGGGACAAGCGAGGUAGGAGAUGUGAACUGGAGCCAUCACAAGCAAAAGAGAGUGGAGACCAAGUCUUCCUCGUUUGGGGGUGCUCUAAGCACUCAGCUGCUGCAAGGAGCAGCUGCCUUCUCCUGCAGUGAUGAUGACUUUAAAAAACAGCACCCACAGCUGAAUUUCACUAGGGUUCUCGUUCUCCUGAUGUGAAUGUCAGGCUGUUUGGAUUGAACAACCCAGGGAUUCAGGCACAGAUGCACACACUGCCCCAUGGCAACUCAGCCAAGUUCAGGCGGGAAUUGGGUUCCCUCUCAUUAGACCACAGCACUUCUGGGCUCUCUGGGAAAAUCUGAGCCAAACUGAGAGGUCCUAAAUCAAGCAAGACUUGGUUUUUACUGUCGGUGCCUGUCAGCUGCCUUACCAGCCUACACAAAUGUCCCUCAGGUUAGGUGAGCCCAACCCAUGAGUCCAUAUGGCACACAAAGCUGUGUGGAUUACUAGUGGCUUUCCUGCAGUACUGCACCCAAACUCAUCAGCCUGCCCUGAGUGGGGGCUGCCAGCUCCAGCACAAUGCUGUGAAAUGCAGCUGGAGCUGGCUGCUGUGGGCAAUCAGGAUGCAUCUCUGCUCCAUCAGCAUGGGCUUGGCCAACAUCUGGGUUGGUAUUUAGUCCCUCAUCACUCACUGCUGCAAAUCUUUCUCCUCCUCCUACUAAAAGUCAUGUCAAAUAGAUAAGGAAACACUUGCAAUGCAAAGGUUGCUUGUUGUACAUUAAGUACUUGAGCAGUGAGAGGCACCUUCUCCUGUCAACUAUUGCAUGGCUUAUCCUGUAGCUCUAGGCACAGAGCCCAAAGCCAAAUUUUUCAAAGGUUGUCUACACAAGAAAGAACAGAAACAGCUCCAUUUCAGGAGGGGCAAGCACCUGUUUCUGUAGGAACUGAGGGGAGUGAUGAGAAGAAUAUUGGACUUGCCAGUAAUAUUAAAACACAAUUUUAUAUUUAUAAAAUACCUAUAGAGUCUUUUAAAUAACAGUCUUCCUUCAUGGUCAAGCAGUUAGAACAGGCAGAUAUAUUCCCACAAUUCUUUUUCCUGCCUACUGAAUGGCUAUCUACCUUUAAUUUCUAGGAGCAGUUCAGCUCCUCCAUGACAGAGAAUUGUUUAUAAACACAGGUCAUCCAUCUUUGUGGUCAUUACAUACCCCAUUAUCCAGAGGAUAGAAGUUUCUGCCAACUCAAGGUUGGUAAAGAUGAGACAAAACAAAAGGGUGUUGCAUUUCUGAGAAACACUGCACUUAAUCUUUGAAAGACACCAAAAAGGUUGAUACUUUUAGAGGUAGAUCUUAAAACACCCUCAUGUGGUGGAAAACCAUUGCAGCAUUACAGUACUGCUCCCUGUCCUGGGGCGUUAAACCUCUCCUAGUGGACUGCUUGGACAGAAACUUCUAUUUCACGCUUCUUUUGCUCAGCUAACCAACCUGAUGUCCAACAAGUCUGCGUUUACUUACCGAAGGACACUUUUUGCAUUCAGAUUUGACUGUCUCUGCUACUAGGGGCAUGGACACGUAAUUGGAGUCCAAAGUCUUGACAACACCAGCAGCUUGCUUCCCAGCGAUCAGUCCAGGGCCAGCUUGUACUGACUUCAGUUCCAGUCUCUGCCUGUGCAUCCAUACAUUGAAAACACCAUUAGAACUCAAACAUUUCGAAGAAGUGCAAAAAUCACGGGGAGAGGAAACAAAAAGAAACCCUCCACAGACAAAAAAAAUACAGAACAAAGAAUUACUAAAGUUCUUGGACUUGUUUUAAAACGUUCAGAUCAUGGAAAGUCUACAGGUUUUUUAAGGUAAUAGAAAUAUUUAACCCUGGUGGGAUUACUGCCAGAGGAGCGUGAUAUAAAAUACCUCAAUAACAAACUUUACAAAGUAUGGAUCUAUAGUGUCUGGUAAACAGCCCUCAGUAACCAUAGACAUUCUGAAAAGUUUCACAUAUUUGUUCAUAAGAAGAUUUGGAAAUUGGGUUUUUGAAUGUACUUU